rnacentral:rRNA from 1 species
AUGAAGCAAUGCUUUGCUUUUUGUGCUGUGUUUCCCAAGGAUUAUGAGAUUGAUGUGGACAAGCUGAUCCAACUAUGGAUUGCACAUGGCUUCAUCCAGGAAAAGCAAGUUCCUCUUGAAACAAUUGGCAAACAGAUUUUUCAUGAGCUUGCCUCAAGGUCAUUCUUUCAGGAUGUGAAACAAGUCCAAGACUGUGUUGAGGAAAUUGAAUACAAUGGCUUGUUUUAUUCCAGAACUACAUGUAAAAUCCACGAUCUUAUGCAUGAUGUUGCUCUUUCUGUAAUGAAAAAGGAGUGUGCAUUGGCUACUAAGGAACCAGCCAAGAUUGAAUCUUUUGUCACAAGUGAGGAACCAAGUCAGAGUGAGUGGCUUCCGAACACAGCUCGGCAUUUAUUUUUGUCAUGCAAGGACCCAGGAAAAAAAUUGAAUAGUUCUCUGGAGAACAGCUCUCCAGCCAUCCAAACACUUUUGUGUGAUAGCUAUAUGAGUAGUUCAUUGCAACAUCUAUCAAAAUACACCUCUUUGCAAGCAUUACAACUUUGUUCAGGUAGUAGAUCAUUUUCGCCGAGAGCAAAACAUCUACAUCACCUGAGGUACCUAGAUCUCUCAAGAAGUUAUAUCAGAGCACUUCCUGAAGAUAUGAGCAUUCUUUACAACCUGCAAACACUUAACCUCUCUGGCUGUAAAUCUCUUGAAACACUUCCGAGACAAAUGAAGUAUAUGACUGCACUGCGUCACCUUUACACUCAUGGUUGUCCACAGUUGAAAGGCAUGCCUAGAGACCUAAGAAAACUCACAUCCCUACAGACACUUACAUGUUUUGUAGCAGGUAGUGGCUCUAAUUGCAGCAAUGUUGGAGAGCUCGGGAAUUUAAACCUCAGUGGUCAACUAGAUUUACAUCAUCUAGAGAACGUGAUAGAAGAAGCUGCAAAAGCUGCAAACCUUGUAAUGAAGGAACUAACAGAACUGACAUUCAAAUGGACUGUUGGACCGGAUAACGUUGUUGAUGAGCCUAGCAGUCAGGAUGAUGCAAAAGUGCUCGAGAAUCUCAAACCUCAUAAUGGACUACAUGCCAUAGGGAUACACUCAUAUGGUGCCGCCACCUUCCCGACAUGGAUGACUAUGUUGCAAAAAAGCGUAGAGAUCCAUCUUUUUGGUUGUAGAAAACUGCAAUGGUUGUUCAGCAGUGGCCGUGAUAAUGAAACCUUCGCAUUUCCAAAACUAAAAGCGCUUACGUUGCAUGCUCUUGACUCUUUGGAAAGAUGGUGGGAGAUAGAUAAUGACAAGAUGCACACAGAACAGAUGUUUCCUCAGCUUGAGAAGUUGUCCAUUAGUCACUGUGAAAAUUUGAAAGCAUUGCCCGGACAACCGACCUUCCCUAAGCUUCAGAAUGUUCAUAUUAAGAAAUGUCCACAGUUGACAACUACAGCUAAAUCACCAAAGCUUAGUGUAUUGGACAUGGAAGGACGUGAGGUAGAGUUGUUCUUGUGGGUAUCGAGACAUAUGACUUCAUUGACCAAUCUGGAACUGACUAGCAUUGAACAUAGUACAGAUACAACCUCGAUGGGGGCUGAGAAUAGUUUGAAGGAAGUGGUGAACGUCAAGAAGAAUGGGAUCAAGACUUUCCUCUAG